UUGACCCAUGAAAUCAUUUGAACGAUUUCCUUAGGCAUUCUUUAUAAUUUUUUUGUUAGGAUUUUUAUUCACUGUGUGCAUCUACUCAAUCUCCGUUCAACCAUGAUUCAGUGCUCACAUUCUAAUCUCUCCUUCUUCGAGUGUUUGCAAUGUCUCACAAUGUUAGGGUACCGGGUAGUACUGGCGUGGUGAUGCCGCCACUGAAUUUCGUGACCGUGCGCUACGUUUUGGAAACUGAGGCUUUGUGACGAGCGAACAGCUUUUCGCUUACUAGUUCAAGCGACCGCUAACAGCUGUGAACACUAAUCUUGUCAGGAGCACGGCACAUUUUCCGGAUAAUAGUAUCAGCGUUGUUAUGGCCAUGGCCUAACUCUCUUCACCUAGACUAGAGCUGUGGAAUUCUACUCCCUCCACAGUCCCCCACACGACGUCUAAUGGCUAGUUUUGAAUGUAGCUUUGGGUGGACAUGCGAGUCCCUGUAACAGCAAGAGAAGUUGCUAUAAACUUCACGGAACGUCUACAAGAAGUUGAACAUUGUCAUGGGUCCAUGGACCAGAGCUGAACUCUGCUUGGUUACAACUGCCUCAUAGCCAGCAAUUUUGGAACAACAAUUUCAGCCAAUGGCUGCACACAGUGACAAUUGGAUGUAGUUCUUGUUUCUGCAUGGAGUGGCUGCUGUUUGUCCAUGGAAUGGCUGCUGUUUGUCCAUGGAAUGGCUGCUGUUUGGCCACAGAAUGCCUGCUAUUUUGCCACGGCAUGCCUGCUGCUUGGACACGGAAUGCCUGACAUUUGGCCACGGAAUUCCUGAUGUGUGUCCAUGGAAUGCCUGACGUUUGGCCGUGGAAUGCCUGACGUUUGGCCACGGAAUGCCUGACGUUUGGCCGUGGAAUGCCUGACGUUUGGCCACGGAAUGCCUGACGUUUGGCCACGGAAUGCCUGACUUUUGGACACAGAAUGGCUGCACGGUGGUUUCGGUACGCUUGGCACGUAAAUACCUGCAAACAUGACAUUGUACAAGUGUCUCUGCAAGGAAACGGAUGGAGUUCAUGUCCACGGGUCACUUUGCUAGUGCGGACUGAAAGGAGAAGAUUUACCGGCAUACUUCUGGAAACGUUCUCCUCACCUCCAGAAGCGCCGUUCAUAUCAAUAUUCACAGCCACACUUGUUCCUGUAUUGCCAGCUGCUACAUUCUGUGAUCCAAUGGACAUUCUACCAAAAGAUCUACCGGCAUACUUCUGGAAACGUUCUCCUCACCUCCAGAAGCGCCGUUCAUAUCAAUAUUAGACACCCUUAGCAAACAACGGUAACGCUAUUUUUUACGGUACUCGUACCUUGAUCACCCAAAUAGCGUUGAAGCUGCAGCGUAUAAACGUUAUGGGGGCUGAUUUAUCGUUGUGACCAACGGUACGUGUUUUGGCCAAAUAUUGCAUAGUCCGUACGCAUUUCACCUUGUAUCGCGUAUAUGGUGACAAAAAUGGUUGUACCGCGCGAAAUCGAAGCUACUCUCGUGGCAACAGCGUACUAAAAAUAGCGUGCAUCUUGCUAAAGGUCGAACCCAAAUCACGGUAUUUUCCCCCUUACGAUAAUACCGUUACAACAUAACGUUUUUUGCUAAGGGUGUCUAUUCACAGCCAUUCUUGUUCCUGUAUUGCCAGCUGCUACAUUCUGUGAUCCAAUGGAAAUUCUACCAAAAGAUCUACCGGCAUACCUCUGGAAACUUUCUCCUCAUCUCCAGAAGCGCCGUUCAUUUCAAUAUUCACAGCCAUACUUGUUCCUGUAUUGCCAGCUGCUACAUUCUGGGAUCCAAUGGAAAUUCUACCAAAAGAUCCACCGGCAUACCUCAGGAAACAUUCUCCUCACCUCCAGAAGCGCCGUUCAUAUCAAUAUUCGCAGCCAUCCUUGUUCCUGUAUUGCCAGCUGCUACAUUCUGUGAUCCAAUGGGCAUUCUACCAAAUUGGCCAGGUUCACCGGCAGUGUUUUCGUGAAGUCCUGAAAAGAGGUCUUGUUUGCAGACAGCAUGGGCACACAGCCUCGUCAUGGACUUGGGGCGUCAAUGGCUGCAUAUGGCAACUGCUAGUUUGUCUGAAAACUACAUCUCACAACCUCAGUGGAUCCAGCUUGCCCAGUAUUGGAGAGACUCUGAUGACCUUAGCCAUCCAAAACCACCAAGCCAACUCAAGUUGAGAGUAUUAUGUUGUCUGAACCUGUCAUAGUAAGUUCCGUCAUCAUAAUAACUUGUCUGAUCACAGAAUCACUGCCUCGCCUAACAGCUAUCAUCGCAUUCGGGAAAGAGCAUUCCCAAAGGUGUGUUGGCGUGUGUUCCGUUGUCUGAUGACUGUGUGUGCAGCAGCAAAUAACACAGCAGCAGCAAAAAACACAGGUCAACUGUUCAGCUGCGUGAAAUCAUACCCUGCUGCAGCUGUUGACUUCAUGUACAGCUGCAGUGAUGUUUACAUUCUAGUUUUUAAAGUGGCUGCUACGUAGCACUUUCUGCAAUGCUUACAUGUUGUACUUGUAACACUGCUGCUGCUGCUGCAUGUUGGACUGAGCGGACGUAUGCACUGGUACAUCAAUACUGUGUUACUUGCUAUACUGGAAGUGCAGUGGUGCCAACCUAUCAUGAAUAUUCAGUGAUUGGUAUACUGUGGCACUGCCCUUGCCAUCACUUCUCUAGCCAACUUGCAGUGCAACGGUGCGGUUAUUGCGCUUGUAGUAUCGCACUGGUGUUGUUCUUCUCACCCCCCCCCCCCCCCGUCUGUCUGUCUCUCUCUCUUCUUGAUCGAUCGAGUGUGUGCAGCUGUGAUUCUGUUCUUGCUUUGUUUAUACCGUCAUGAUUGUGUUCUUUCUGUGUGUUUCUCUGCAGUCCCUGCCGUUCUUGUGUUGUGUGUGUGUAUGGUGAUGGGUGUGUCAUCAGCUUAAUGCAUGGCUGACUAGCUACACUCCCCAGCAUGCACUCUCAUACUUGACUCUAAGGCAAAGUGACUGAGUAGCCAUGGUAGCUGCUAUCUUGUUAGACUGUGUGCUAGUACUUGUGUUCUUGGCAUGAUAGGUAGAAAUAUGAUUGAUUGACUGUCAUCAGGUGGAAUCAGAGUUGCUGUUGAGUACUUUGCAAAUGGUGCUAGGACUUGCUCAACUCUGAUUGGCUGAGGGCAGUUGACUGAUCAUUUCAGGUGUGAAGUUCAGAGCCAGGAUAGGCUAUAAAAGUAAUCAUUCUAGGAGGGGAUGGUGGUCGGGGUUUGGGAUGGCCAGAAUUUUACAUUUUUCUUCUUGGCUUGAACUCUUGUUGUUUCUGCAUGAGGAAACACUGAUGGCCUCUGAACUCUUGUUGUUUCUGCAUGAGGGUAGAAUUUUCCAAGAAGAAAACACUUGCUGAGCUCUGAUUGGCUGAGGGCGAUUGACUGGUCAUUUCAGGUGUGAAAAUCAGAGCCAGGAUAGGCUAUAAAAGUAAUCAU